rnacentral:rRNA from 1 species
GAUUUCUGGUUUGAUGUACCUGUCCCGCUGCGGUAACGUAUGUGUGUGACGGAGUAGGUCUGCCAUCCUUCUAGAGAAUGCAAGCUGUCCUUUACUGGACCGGUUUGCAUCAUCUAGAUCUUUUACUUUGAAAAAAUUAGAGUGUUUCAAGCAGGCAUGUUUUGCUAUGAAUACAUUAGCAUGGAAUAAUAAUCUAGGACUUUCGGUUCUAUUUUGUUGGUGUUCUGGAGCUGAAGUAAUGAUUGAUAGGGAUAGUUGGGGGUGCUAGUAUUCAAUGGCCAGAGGUGAAAUUCUCGGAUUCCUUGAAGACUAACUUAUGCGAAAGCAUU